GACGAACGCUGGCGGCGUGCUUAACACAUGCAAGUCGAACGGAAAGGCACUGCUUGCUGGGUACUCGAGUGGCGAACGGGCGAGUGACACGUGGGUGCUCUGCACUGCACUUCGGGAUAGGCCUGGGAAACGGGGUCCAAUACCGAAUAGGAGCCACGUUCUGCGGGAGGGUGGGAAAGAUUUUUCGGCGUAGGACGAGCUCGCGGCCUAUCGGCGGGUUGGUGGGGUAAUGGCCUACCAGGGCGGCGACGGGAAGCCGGCCUGUGGGGGUGGACGGCCACACUGAGUCUGAGAGGCGGCCCCGAUUCCGACUGGUGGCAGCAGUGGGGAAUCUUGCACCAUGGGCGCAGGCCUGAUGCAGCGACGCCGCGUGGUGGAUGGCGGCCUUCGGGUUGUAGACUCCUUUCGCGAGGAACGCAGCUUUUUGUGACGGUACCUAGAUAAGAAGCACCGGCUAACUACGUG
rnacentral:rRNA from 1 species